GUUAACGCUGGCGGCGUGCCUAACACAUGCAAGUCGAACGGUUCUAAGCGCGAGCUUAGGAUAGUGGCGAACGGGUGAGUAAAAGGUAGGAAUCUACCCCUUGGACGGAGAUAGCUACUGGAAACGGUAGGUAAACUUCGAUAAGCCCGAGAGGGGAAAGUGGUGAGACAGCCGAGGGAUGAGCCUACUCUCCAUCAGGUAGUUGGUGAGAUAAAAGCUUACCAAGCCGAUGACGGAUAACCGGUGUGAGAGCAUGAACGGUCACAAGGGCACUGAGAGACGGGCCCUACUCCUACGGGAGGCAGCAGUGGGGAAUCUUGGACAAUGGGCGAAAGCCUGAUCCAGCGACGCCGCGUGAGUGAUGAAGGCCUUCGGGUCGUAAAGCUCUGUUCUUGAGGACGAAUAAGCCAGGGAGUGGAAAGCCCUGGUGAUGACUGUACUCAAGGAGAAAGCUCCGGCUAACUACGUG
rnacentral:rRNA from 1 species